rnacentral:rRNA from 1 species
AGAGUUUGAUCCUGGCUCAGAGUGAACGCUGGCGGCGUGGAUUAGGCAUGCAAAUCGAGCGAUGAUUUUUCAAAGGGGACUAGUCCCGUAAGGGGCUUGUCCCUAAAGAAAAAUCAUAGCGGCAGACGGGUGAGCAACACGUGAGUAACCUACCUCUAUACCGAAGAUAGCCUUGUGAAAACGAGGGUAAUAGUCGAUGUGUCCCUUGACACAAAAGUGUCAAGGGGUAAAGGCAACUCGCAAGGGUUGCCGUAUAGAGAGGGGCUCGCGUCCUAUCAGCUAGUUGGUAGGGUAAUGGCCUACCAAGGCUUUUGACGGGUAGCUGGCCUGAGAGGAUGGUCAGCCACACGGGGACUGAGACACUGCCCCGACUCCUACGGGAGGCUGCAGUCGAGGAUAUUUAGCAAUGGGCGAAAGCCUGACUAUGCGACGCCGCGUGAGGGAUGAAGGUCUUCGGAUCGUGAACCUCUUUCAAUGGGAAAGAAAACCCUCAAGCAAUUGGGGUCUGACGGUACCUAGAGAAGAAGCCACGGCUAACUCCGUGCCAGCAGCCGCGGUAAUACGGAGGUGGCGAGCGUUACUCGGAUUCAUUGGGUGUAAAGGGCAGGUAGGCGUCCCGAUAAGUUUUAGGUGAAAUCCUUUGGCUCAACCAAAGAAGGGCUUAAAAAACUGUCGGGAUUGAGGCUGGAAGAGGAGAACGGAAUUCCCGAUGUAAGAGUGAAAUCCGUAGAGAUCGGGAGGAACACCAGUGGCGAAGGCGGUUCUCUGGUCCAGUUCUAACGCUAAGCUGCGAAAGCUAGGGGAGCAAACAGGAUUAGAUACCCUGGUAGUCC